rnacentral:rRNA from 1 species
GUAAGCUUAACACAUGCAAGUCGCACGAGAGUUCUUAACUCUAGUGGCGGACGGGUGAGUAACACUGCUUUAGAAUCUGCCCUUAGGAGGAGGAUAACAGCUGGAAACGGUUGCUAAUACUCCAUAUGCUGAAAAGUGAAAGGAUUUAUCUGCCUAAGGAGGAGCUCGCGUCUGAUUAGCUAGUUGGUGAGGUAAAGGCUUACCAAGGCGACGAUCAGUAGCUGGUUUGAGAGGACGAUCAGCCACACUGGGACUGAGACACGGCCCAGACUCCUACGGGAGGCAGCAGUGGGGAAUUUUCCGCAAUGGGCGCAAGCCUGACGGAGCAAUACCGCGUGAGGGAUGACAGCCUGUGGGUUGUAAACCUCUUUUCUCAAGGAAGAAGUUCUGACGGUACUUGAGGAAUAAGCAUCGGCUAACUCUGUGCCAGCAGCCGCGGUAAUACAGAGGAUGCAAGCGUUAUCCGGAAUCACUGGGCAUAAAGCGUCUGUAGGUUGUUUAGUAAGUCUGCUGUUAAAUACUAGGGCUUAACCCUAGGCCAGCAGUGGAAACUGCUAGACUUGAGUGUGGUAGGGGUAGAGGGAAUUCCUAGUGUAGCGGUGAAAUGCGUAGAUAUUAGGAAGAACACCAAUGGCGAAAGCACUCUACUGGGCCAUAACUGACACUGAGAGACGAUAGCUAGGGGAGCAAAUGGGAUUAGAUACCCCAGUAGUCCUAGCCGUAAACGAUGGAUACUAGAUGUUUGCACGUAU